UACAGAGGUCCCAAGCGUUGUUCGGAUUCAUUGGGCGUAAAGGUGUGUAGGCGGCGCCGUAAGUCAGGUGUGAAUCUCGGGCUUAACUCCGAACUGCAUUGAUACUGCGUGCUUGAGGACUGGAGAGAGACUGAAUUACGUGUAGCGUGAAUGCGUAGAUAUCGUAAGGAGACCAGUGGCGAAGGCGGUCUCUGGACAGUCUGACGCUGAGACACGAAGCAGGAGCAACGGAUUAGAGU
rnacentral:rRNA from 1 species